rnacentral:rRNA from 2 species
UCAGGCUUAAUUGUCUGCACUGGUGAGAUGAAUCUCUACCUUCUGAGGAACUUUCAUGCCAUUUAUUUGGUGUGAUUGGAAAUCAGGACUGUUACUUUGAAAAAAUUAGAGUGUUUAAAGCAGGCUAACGUCUGAAUACAUUAGCAUGGAAUAAUGAAAUAGGACGGACUGAUUCUAUUUCGUUGGUUUCUAGGAUCACCGUAAUGAUUAACAGGGACAGUCGGGGGCAUUCGUAUUUCAUAGUCAGAGGUGAAAUUCUUGGAUUUAUGAAAGACGAACUAUUGCGAAAGCAUUUGCCAAGGAUGUUUUCAUUAAUCAAGAACGAAAGUUAGGGGAUCGAAGACGAUCAGAUACCGUCGUAGUCUUAACCAUAAACUAUGCCGACUAGGGAUCGGACGAAGUUAAUUUUAUAAUGACGCGUUCGGCGCCUUACGGGAAAC